AUUGAACGCUGGCGGCAGGCCUAACACAUGCAAGUCGAGCGAGCGGCGGACGGGUGAGUACUGUAUGGGGACUGCCCGUUAGCGGGGGAUAACUACUGGAAAAGGUAGCUAAUACCGCAUACUAUCGGCUUCACCAUAUGGGAUUAGCUAGUAGGUGAGGUAAUGGCUCACCUAGGCGACGAUCCCUAGCUGGUCUGAGAGGUUGAUCAGCCACACUGGGACUGAGACACGGCCCAGACUCCUACGGAGGCAGCAGUGGGGAAUAUGGGACAAUGGGCGAAAGCCUGAUACAGCCAUGCCGCGUGUGUGAAGAAGGCCCUAGGGUUGUAAAGUACUUUCAGUCGGGAGGCGUUACCGACAGAAGAAGCACCGGCUAACUCCGUGCCAGCAGCCGCGGUAAUAC
rnacentral:rRNA from 1 species